AUUGAACGCUGGCGGCAGGCUUAACACAUGCAAGUCGAGCGGAGAGAGGUAGCUUGCUACUGAUCUUAGCGGCGGACGGGUGAGUAAUGCUUAGGAAUCUGCCUAUUAGUGGGGGACAACAUUUCGAAAGGAAUGCUAAUACCGCAUACGUCCUACGGGAGAAAGCAGGGGAUCUUCGGACCUUGCGCUAAUAGAUGAGCCUAAGUCGGAUUAGCUAGUUGGUGGGGUAAAGGCCUACCAAGGCGACGAUCUGUAGCGGGUCUGAGAGGAUGAUCAGGCACACGGGGACUGAGACACGGCCCAGACUCCUACGGGAGGCAGCGGUGGGGAAUAUUGGACAAUGGGCGGAAGCCUGAUCCAGCCAUGCCGCGUGUGUGAAGAAGGCCUUAUGGUUGUAAAGCACUUUAAGCGAGGAGGAGGCUACUUUAGUUAAUACCUAGAGAUAGUGGGCGUUACUCGCAGAAUAAGCACCGGCUAACUCUGUGCCAGCAGCCGCAGUAA
rnacentral:rRNA from 1 species